CAGUCGCCGCGGUAAUACGUAGGGUGCGAGCGUUAAUCGGAAUUACUGGGCGUAAAGCGUGCGCAGGCGGUGAUGUAAGACAGAUGUGAAAUCCCCGGGCUCAACCUGGGAACUGCAUUAGUGACUGCAUCGCUGGAGUGCGGCAGAGGGGGAUGGAAUUCCGCGUGUAGCAGUGAAAUGCGUAGAUAUGCGGAGGAACACCGAUGGCGAAGGCAAUCCCCUGGGCCUGCACUGACGCUCAUGCACGAAAGCGUGGGGAGCAAACAGGAUUAGAUACCCGCGUAGUCCCUGUCUCUUAUAC
rnacentral:rRNA from 1 species